UACGAAGGGGGCUAGCGUUGUUCGGAUUUACUGGGCGUAAAGCGCACGUCGGCGGCUCGUUAAGUCAGAGGUGAAAGCCUGGAGCUCAACUCCAGAACUGCCUUUGAUACUGGCAAGCUCGAGUAUGGCAGAGGUUGGUGGAACUCCGAGUGUAGAGGUGAAAUUCGUAGAUAUUCGGAAGAACACCAGUGGCGAAGGCGGCCAACUGGGCCAUUACUGACGCUGAGGUGCGAAAGCGUGGGGAGCAAACAGG
rnacentral:rRNA from 1 species